ACUCCUACGGGAGGCAGCAGUAGGGAAUCUUCCACAAUGGGCGCAAGCCUGAUGGAGCAACACCGCGUGAGUGAAGAAGGGUUUCGGCUCGUAAAGCUCUGUUGUUAAAGAAGAACACGUAUGAGAGUAACUGUUCAUACGUUGACGGUAUUUAACCAGAAAGUCACGGCUAACUACGUGCCAGCAGCCGCGGUAAUACGUAGGUGGCAAGCGUUAUCCGGAUUUAUUGGGCGUAAAGAGAGUGCAGGCGGUUUUCUAAGUCUGAUGUGAAAGCCUUCGGCUUGACCGGAGAAGUGCAUCGGAAACUGGAUAACUUGAGUGCAGAAGAGGGUAGUGGAACUCCAUGUGUAGCGGUGGAAUGCGUAGAUAUAUGGAAGAACACCAGUGGCGAAGGCGGCUACCUGGUCUGCAACUGACGCUGAGACUCGAAAGCAUGGGUAGCGAACAGGAUUAGAUACCCUGGUA
rnacentral:rRNA from 1 species